rnacentral:rRNA from 1 species
CCCUUAGAUGUCCUGGGCCGCACGCGCGUUACACUGAUGCAUUCAACGAGCUUAUAACCUUGGCCGAGAGGCCUGGGCAAUCUUGUUAACGUGCAUCGUGAUAGGGAUAGAUUAUUGAAAUUAUUAAUCUUGAACGAGGAAUUCCUAGUAAACGCAGAUCAUCAAUCUGCAUUGAUUACGUCCCUGCCCUUUGUACACACCGCCCGUCGCACCUACCGAUUGGAUGGUCCGGUGAAGCCUCGGGAUUGUGGUUCUUGUCGCUUUAUUGUGGCGUGACCGCGAGAACUUGUCUAAACCUUAUCAUCUAGAGGUAGGUGAAGUCGUAACA